CCGCUAUCAAUAUGUGGGAGAGUUUGGAUGUCUGACUUUGUAGUAAAAACACACGCAAAACAGAUGUUGCACAGUCAAAGCACUAGUAAAAUUAAAUAACUAAUUUUGAGUUUUGUUACAGACCGACUUUGACAACUAUAAGGCCAUUGUGUCCUUUAUUAACAUUGGCAAUGUACACUGGAAGUUUCUGAUGGCAAAGGCAGUCAUGGAGGCUUUUCCAAAGAAAGCAGAAAUGUCAUUUGGGACAGCUCCAAGAUUGAUGGCAGAUGACAGAAAACACUUGGCUCUCGAGCUCCUGGAAGCCUCAGUGUUUAACACAGAGACCAGCUGUGCCAUGUGCUCAGCAGUCAAACCACCAAUUAAAGGGCCUGACUUAACAAACUGGAUUCAGUGUGACACCUGUUGCAGGUGGUUCCAUGUUGAGUGCAUCGACAUGGACUCGGAAACACUUCAGCAGGCAGAGAGUAGUGAAUGGAAUUGUGUUAUUUGUGAAAAAUGAAUGAAC